UCUCGGCUUAUCACCGGCAGUCCCCUUAGAGUGCCCAACUUAAUGCUGGCAACUAAGGGCGAGGGUUGCGCUCGUUGCGGGACUUAACCCAACAUCUCACGACACGAGCUGACGACAGCCAUGCAGCACCUGUGUCCCGGUCCCCGAAGGGAACCUUGCAUCUCUGCAAGUAGCCGGGCAUGUCAAGGGCUGGUAAGGUGGGGAGACGUAGACGUCAUAACC
rnacentral:misc_RNA from 1 species